GACGUAGGGUGCAAGCGUUGUCCGGAUUUACUGGGCGUAAAGAGCGCGUAGGCGGCUCGUUAAGUGAGAAGUGAAAGCUGUGGGCUCAACCCACAAACCGCUUUUCAUACUGGCGAGCUGGAGUGAUGCAGAGGUGGAUAGAAUUCCCGGUGUAGCGGUGAAAUGCGUUGAUAUCGGGAGGAAUACCCGUGGCGAAGGCGGUCCACUGGGCCGAUCAACUGACGCUGAGGCGCGAAAGCGUGGGUAGCAAACAGG
rnacentral:rRNA from 1 species